CCUAAUACAUGCAAGUCGAACGAACUCUGGUAUUGAUUGGUGCUUGCAUCAUGAUUUACAUUUGAGUGAGUGGCGAACUGGUGAGUAACACGUGGGAAACCUGCCCAGAAGCGGGGGAUAACACCUGGAAACAGAUGCUAAUACCGCAUAACAACUUGGACCGCAUGGUCCGAGCUUGAAAGAUGGCUUCGGCUAUCACUUUUGGAUGGUCCCGCGGCGUAUUAGCUAGAUGGUGGGGUAACGGCUCACCAUGGCAAUGAUACGUAGCCGACCUGAGAGGGUAAUCGGCCACAUUGGGACUGAGACACGGCCCAAACUCCUACGGGAGGCAGCAGUAGGGAAUCUUCCACAAUGGACGAAAGUCUGAUGGAGCAACGCCGCGUGAGUGAAGAAGGGUUUCGGCUCGUAAAACUCUGUUGUUAAAGAAGAACAUAUCUGAGAGUAACUGUUCAGGUAUUGACGGUAUUUAACCAGAAAGCCACGGCUAACUACGUGCCAGCAGCCGCGGUAAUACGUAGGUGGCAAGCGUUGUCCGGAUUUAUUGGGCGUAAAGCGAGCGCAGGCGGUUUUUUAAGUCUGAUGUGAAAGCCUUCGGCUCAACCGAAGAAGUGCAUCGGAAACUGGGAAACUUGAGUGCAGAAGAGGACAGUGGAACUCCAUGUGUAGCGGUGAAAUGCGUAGAUAUAUGGAAGAACACCAGUGGCGAAGGCGGCUGUCUGGUCUGUAACUGACGCUGAGGCUCGAAAGUAUGGGUAGCAAACAGGAUUAGAUACCCUGGUAGUCCAUACCGUAAACGAUGAAUGCUAAGUGUUGGAGGGUUUCCGCCCUUCAGUGCUGCAGCUAACGCAUUAAGCAUUCCGCCUGGGGAGUACGGCCGCAAGGCUGAAACUCAAAGGAAUUGACGGGGGCCCGCACAAGCGGUGGAGCAUGUGGUUUAAUUCGAAGCUACGCGAAGAACCUUACCAGGUCUUGACAUACUAUGCAAAUCUAAGAGAUUAGACGUUCCCUUCGGGGACAUGGAUACAGGUGGUGCAUGGUUGUCGUCAGCUCGUGUCGUGAGAUGUUGGGUUAAGUCCCGCAACGAGCGCAACCCUUAUUAUCAGUUGCCAGCAUUAAGUUGGGCACUCUGGUGAGACUGCCGGUGACAAACCGGAGGAAGGUGGGGAUGACGUCAAAUCAUCAUGCCCCUUAUGACCUGGGCUACACACGUGCUACAAUGGAUGGUACAACGAGUUGCGAACUCGCGAGAGUAAGCUAAUCUCUUAAAGCCAUUCUCAGUUCGGAUUGUAGGCUGCAACUCGCCUACAUGAAGUCGGAAUCGCUAGUAAUCGCGGAUCAGCAUGCCGCGGUGAAUACGUUCCCGGGCCUUGUACACACCGCCCGUCACACCAUGAGAGUUUGUAACACCCAAAGUCGGUGGGGUAACCUUUUAGGAACCAGCCGCAU
rnacentral:rRNA from 2 species